rnacentral:lncRNA from 1 species
AGAUAAAAAGGAGAUAAGAAAAGUAACAAAAAUAGAAAAUAUUUUUAUUUUAUUUUAGGUAUAUAUAUAUAUAUUGACAUUUUUUUUUAUGAAAAGAAAAACAACUAUGCUAGCAAUUUCCGGCAACGGCGCCAAAAAUUGAUAGUCAACUUUAAAGACCAUGCACUAGCACGUAUCUGGUAGGAUAGUGAUUCCGGGUAUCGAUCCACAGGGAUAGGGGUACAGUUGUAUUCUUAAAAAUAAUGUAAAAGAGAGAGUUUAAAGACUAUUAAACUAAGCAAUUUAAUAAGAAAUGCAAUUAAAAUGCU